UGGACCCGCGUCUGAUUAGCUAGUUGGUAAGGUAACGGCUUACCAAGGCGACGAUCAGUAGCCGACCUGAGAGGGUGAUCGGCCACAUUGGAACUGAGACACGGUCCAAACUCCUACGGGAGGCAGCAGUGGGGAAUAUUGCACAAUGGGCGAAAGCCUGAUGCAGCAACGCCGCGUGAGUGAUGAAGGCCUUCGGGUCGUAAAACUCUGUCCUCAAGGAAGAUAAUGACGGUACUUGAGGAGGAAGCCCCGGCUAACUACGUGCCAGCAGCCGCGGUAAUACGUAGGGGGCUAGCGUUAUCCGGAUUUACUGGGCGUAAAGGGUGCGUAGGCGGUCUUUCAAGUCAGGAGUGAAAGGCUACGGCUCAACCGUAGUAAGCUCUUGAAACUGGGAGACUUGAGUGCAGGAGAGGAGAGUGGAAUUCCUAGUGUAGCGGUGAAAUGCGUAGAUAUUAGGAGGAACACCAGUUGCGAAGGCGGCUCUCUGGACUGUAACUGACGCUGAGGCACGAAAGCGUGGGGAGCAAACAGGAUUAGAUACCCUGGUAGUCCACGCUGUAAACGAUGAGUACUAGGUGUCGGGGGUUACCCCC
rnacentral:rRNA from 1 species